rnacentral:rRNA from 1 species
UCCUACGGGGGGCAGCAGUAGGGAAUCUUCCACAAUGGGCGCAAGCCUGAUGGAGCAACACCGCGUGAGUGAAGAAGGGUUUCGGCUCGUAAAGCUCUGUUGUUGGAGAAGAACGGGCGUGAGAGUAACUGUUCGCGCAGUGACGGUAUCCAAACAGGAAGUCACGGCUAAAUACGUGCCAGCAGCCGCGGGAAUACGUAGGUGGCAAGCGUUAUCCGGAUUUAUUUGGCGUAAAACGAGCGCAGGCGGUUGCUUUG